rnacentral:rRNA from 1 species
AGAAUGAACGCUGGCGGCGCGCCUAAUACAUGCAAGUCGAGCGAGAAGACGUAGCAAUACGUUUGUAAAGCGGCGAACGGGUGAGGAAUACAUGGGUAACCUACCCUCGAGUGGGGAAUAACUAGCCGAAAGGUUAGCUAAUACCGCGUAUGCUCCUUGGACUUCGGUUCAGGGAGGAAAGCGAUACCGUGGGUAUCGCGCUCUUGGUUGGGCUCAUGUCCUAUCAGCUUGUUGGUGAGGUAACGGCUCACCAAGGCUUCGACGGGUAGCUGGUCUGAGAGGACGAUCAGCCACACUGGCACUGCGACACGGGCCAGACUCCUACGGGAGGCAGCAGUAAGGAAUAUUGCGCAGUGGGCGAAAGCCUGACGCAGCGACGCCGCGUGGGGAUGAAGUCUCGGAUUGUAACCCUUGGAGGAAGAGUGGAACGAGCAAGUCGUUCGACGGUACCUCGAGAAGCAGCCACGCUAACUUCGCGCACGCAGCCGCGUAAUC